rnacentral:rRNA from 1 species
UACGUAGGUGGCAAGCGUUGUCCGGAUUUACUGGGCGUAAAGAGCGCGCAGGCGGCUCGGCAAGUCUGCUGUGAAAUCUCCCGGCUUAACUGGGAGGGGUCAGCGGAUACUGUCGGGCUUGAGGCAGGUAGAGGAAGGUGGAAUUCCCGGUGUAGUGGUGAAAUGCGUAGAUAUCGGGAGGAACACCAGUGGCGAAGGCGGCCUUCUGGGCCUGUCCUGACGCUGAGGCGCGAAAGCGUGGGUAGCAAACAGG